UCUGCGCUCCAUGGUCCACGACGCUACGCGCAUGCGCAGCCACGCAGACGACGGCAACAGCUACAAGUGACAGAGAACCUCCCCCCCGACACACGCGCACAUAGACGGGGUCAGAAGACGGAAGGGAGCUGCAGGCAGCAUCUAUCAGCGUAUCAAAGGGUAAGAGCACGAGAGCGGAGAAGGGCCGGGCGAGCCACCAACACAUCAUCCGAGGCCUGCAGGGUCACUGUUAUACAUACACACGCACACACACGAAGCUCUGCCGGGCCCAUUCCUUUUUUUUUUUCUCACCUACCUGCGCUUCUUGGCCUCUUGCACGAUCGCCUCUUUCUCCCCAAGCGCCUGCCCUUUCACGUCCUCUCGUCCUCAUUUCCGCCGCUCGUAGCGAGGGCCUCUCGUGCAAGUUCCAGAGGGACACAUACACACAUACACGAUACGAUCCAGGCAGCACUCGAGGAGUGCCAGGGCACGCGCACACGCAGACUCGCCCGCACUCGUAGCGAGACGAACGUGGCCUAUAGAGUGCAUCUCGCGGCAUACGCUAAUGCCCUCGCAUGCACACACAUAGAUGCACACACCACAUAAGCGCAUACGCCGUAUAUUCCACAUUCUCUGAGGCGCUCAGAUCGGAUCAGCAGUCCCCGAAGGCUGCGGUAGGCGUGCACAGUUUGCACACACACACACACACACACACACACACACACACACCAGCGCACACUCGCACGCACCUGCCAUUCACAUUCGAAGAUCGCUGUGCGUUACUGACUCGUCCUGGCUGUCACAGAGUGCACUCUUUCGCUCCGGCCUUCCUCUUCUCUGUGCACGAGUAGGAGCGCGCCGUCUACGCCCACCGACAAGACACCUGCGAGUAGCCCAGCGUCACCCUUGCCUUUUGUGGUCCUCCCUCUCUCCCUCCUCACCUGGUUCUCCUCACAAACACACACUCACACCAGCGCACUCCCUUGCAUAUAUACAUAUAUACAUAUAUACAUAUAUAUAUAUGUAUAUAUUAUGUAUUCUCUCUCUGUUCUCCGCUCUCUCCGCCACACGAAAGUCAUCGCACAUCGAGGAUGCCUACAGCGGCGUCAUUAUCAUCCGCAUCGACUUCGACGGCGACUGCUCGAGCGGCCCCGCCGUACCGCACAAACGAGUCGGAGUGGAUACCCGCUCUCGCCUCUGCCGUUCAGCGCAGCCUUGAAGGCGGUGCUGGGAGCAGCAGCAACGGCGGUAGUGACAGCGCUGGGUGGAACCCGGCAAACAGACAUCAAGGAGCCGCCCAGAGUGCGGCGAUGAGUGCUGCCCGGGACACGGCGCCUCCCUUGGCGGAGUACCAGGCUGCUUAUCAGUGCCGUAGCCUCCAUCAGAGCGGUUUUGUCGCGGUGCCUCCUCCGGCUCGCUUGUAUCCAGCUCUUGGAGGUAGUAUUGGUGCAGGCAGUUGCGGCAACCUGAAAAUUGGCAGCAGCAGCACUGGCAACAACAUCUCCGUCGCCUCCUACGCGCCUCCUGCACCGUUGUCGACCCGUCAUGCGACACCGGACGCCAGCGGAUCUUCCGCUCUGCCACCGUCUCUGGCACAUUCUGCCGUCCCCGCGCCAGGGGCGUCGCAGCGAACGGCAACUACGUGGACCUCAAGUAUGCCUGCGACUGCCGCAUCAUUUCCCGUCUCCUCUGUCUGCGACCCAGGUGGUGGUGAGCUGGCUGGGUCGAGCGCCGCUGUCGGUGUCACUGCUGCUGCUGCUCCCUCGUCUUCGAUGUUUCCUACCAUGCCACCCCCAGCCGUGCCCAGAGGCGGGCUGGUCAAAGUACCUCCCGCUGCCGCUUCAGCUCCUGCCGCUGCGUGCAUGGCGCCGUCGCCGUUGACGUUGCGCGACGUGAAAGCGGAGAUGCGGCGCGUCGCCAAGCAGCUCCGCGAGGCGCAACACCACCGCGAUGACCUCGUGCUCCUGGAAGACGAAGAGCACGACGCGACAGACGAGCUGCAGCAGCUAGAUGUGCGCAUUGCAGAGCUGGAACAGCGGUUUGCACGCUUCCGCGCUUUCCAGGCAACGCUGCUGAACCGCCCCACACCCGCCUCGACGCCGCCGUCCCUCUCUUCCAUGUCGUCCUCGCUCGUGCGAUCACCGCACGCCACAUCGGUGAUGGAUCUCGGCGGUGCAAUCUACAGCAGCGCUGGCGUUGUCGGCUACACCGGCGGCGGCGAGCAGAGAGGCCCGCUGAUGCAGAGCACUGUGACAUCGCCUUGGCCCGCCGCGCCAACGAGUGGCCCCCCUUCAGCAGCAGGGGCUACUGGUGCACCACCACCACACGGUGACUGGCCCACCGCCAUGACCGAGUACAGCGUAAACCGUGGUGACAUCGGCGGCUGUGCCCUGGAGCUGCCAGGUCCGUCGGUCUCCGACGCCAACGGAGGUACGACGAGCUUCCGCAGUGCCGAAUGCUCGGCCCCCUCCGCUCGCAAAGGCUUCUCGUGGGAGGCCUACGAACAGCAGGUAGACCCGGAGGCGCUGUCGCGCGACGCCCUGUCUCGCACCGCGCACGUCGAGCUCCCCGUGAACCCCACGCACCAGUAUGGCGGCGAGCGCUUCCCGUGGUCAGCGGAGCUGCGGCGCAUGAUGCGCGAGGUGUUCGGGUUGCACGACUACCGCUUCUGCCAGCUCGAGAUCAUGAACGCCUGCAUGGACGGCCGCGAUGUUUUUGUGCUGCUGCCGACGGGUGGCGGCAAGUCCCUCUGCUACCAGCUUCCUGCGCUGAUGCCCAACCCGGCCCAGGUCACCGUUGUCGUGUCGCCGCUCAUCUCGCUUAUUCAGGAUCAGGUGUACGCGCUGAUCGCAAACGACAUUCCUGCCAUGGCCCUCACCGGGCAGACCAACGACGCGGCUCGCCGCAGUCUCUUCCAGGAGUGGGCCUCCGGCCACGUCGUGCACACGCUCGUGUACGUGACGCCGGAGUACUUUGGCCGCAGCGACCACUUUGUGGGCACGCUGCAGGGGCUUGCCGACAAGGGGCUGCUCUGCCGCUUCGUGAUUGACGAGGCGCACUGCGUGUCGCAGUGGGGUCACGACUUCCGGCCAGAUUACCGCAAACUCUCGGUGCUGAAGCGGCAGUUUCCACGCACACCCAUCACGGCGCUGACCGCCACGGCGACGGAUCUCGUGCAGCAGGAUGUUAUCAAGACUCUUGCCCUGCGCGACGCCAUCAUCUUCAAGGGCUCCUUCAACCGAGCCAACCUCAAGUACUCGGUGCAGCACGUGCGAGGCAAGCAGGUGAUCCCGGUUGUUGAGGACCUCGUACUGCACCGAUUCUCGCCGUCGUCGUGCGGCAUCGUGUACUGCCUGUCGCGCAAGGACUGCGAGGAGAUGGCGGCGGCACUCGUACGCAGGGGCAUUAAGGCCUCCUACUACCACUCCGAGGCGGCGUCGAAGAAUGAGCGGCAGGAGCGAUGGACGCGUGAUGAGCUACAAGUGAUUUGCGCUACCAUCGCGUUUGGAAUGGGCAUCAACAAGCCAGAUGUCCGCUACGUCGUGCACGCGGCUAUGCCCAAGUCCAUCGAGGGGUACUACCAGGAGAGCGGCCGCGCCGGCCGUGACGGUUUGCCGUCGGAGUGCGUGCUACUGAGCACCACCACAGAUCGACAGCGGCAGGAGCGGCUGAUCCACGGCUCGAAAGACUGGCGCGCCUCCCUCACCUCGCUGCACCGCAUGCUGGCUUACACCCUCAACAACGUCGACUGUCGCCGGCGCCAGCAGCUGCACCACUUUGGUGAGCAGGUGGACGUCCAUUUUUGCCUUACGCAGCGGGCUGCCGCUGGCGGUGGCGCGGGGCCGCCGCUGCCACCGACGCCGGCCGCAUCAGUGUCUGUCGUCACGCAGUUGUGUGAUAACUGUGCCAGCAAGCUGGCCGAGGGCUGGACGGUGAAGGAGGUGGACGUGGGCAACAUUCUGCUUGAUCUGUACGCUAUUAUCCUGCGUCUCGGCACCAUGACGUCGAAACAGCUGAUCGGCGUGUACCGCGGCUCUGUCUCGGAAAUGGGGCGCACCGUCGAGAUGCGCAUGCGCAUGAAGGGAACGCCGGCGGAGUACAAGAGUGGCGCCAAGCACUCGAAGGUACUUUUGGACCGCACGCUGCUCGAGGGGAUGCAGCUCGGGCUCUUCGAGGAGCGGCUGGACAGCAUCAAUGACUUCGCCGUGUGCGCCUUUGUAGAGCUUGGCGGCACCCCAGCAGCGCAGCAGCUCCACCGCGACAUCAAGGCUGGACACCGCGUCAUAACGCUGCGCCUGCGAAAUGUGAAGGCCCGCAGUAGUAAAGAGGAUGCGAGCUUCGGCGCUGUGGCCAGUGCUGUUUCGGGCGCCACCGCCAAGGACGACAUGCCGCUCGUCGAGCUGUUUGACUGUGCCAAACGACAGGCGGCCGUGGGCGACGGUCGCGGCACACGGGCUUCGGCGGCAGCACCAGAAGAGAAGAAGCGCAAGCCCGAGGCAAAGAAGGGGCGCCGCGGCAACAGGUACGUGCUGGACGAGGCAGACGGCAGCACUGAUGACGACGAAGGGGCGAUCUCAUCCAUCGAGGAAGACUCUGCAAUGUCGAACAGCAUGGCGUCCUUUAUCGACGAUGAGAGUAGCAGCAUGGCUACCCCAUCCUACAUCUCCAGCGUGACGACGCCGCAGCGCGAUGGGGCCGGGGCAUCGGAAGCAGCUGCUGGUCGCCGACAGCGCACUUCAUCGACGGCCGGGUCGCAGGACGGCGUCCUCUCGACGCUGUCGGAGGACACCCGAGGCCAGCCGCAAGUGCAUCAGCCGCCGCGGAAGCGCACUCGCGGUGAUGCGGCCGACCAGCGAGCGGCCGUGGCGCAGAGGGGCCUAGGCGGCACUGCUGCUGCACCUGCGGCUGCGGCGUCGACCGUCCCUGCAGCGCGACUGGAGCGCCUGAAAGCGCUUCUGCAGGAGGAGAUGGAUCGGCUCGUGCAGACCCUCGUGAGCCAGGCGGUGGGGUGCCGAAGUUACAACGUGAUGCCCAAGAGCACAAUUCUGCGGCUGACCGACACGCUCGCCAUCCCUGGCUGGGGCAGCGUCGGCGACCUCAUCGACCUGGAGGGGAUGGGCAAGAACAAGGUGAAGCGGUACGGCGCCGACAUCCUGCGGGUGUACCGGCAUUUCCGCUACAUCCACAUAGGCGACGUCGAGGAGCUGUCGGAGGCAGAGGCGGCGGAGGUGAAGGAUGUGAAGACGGCGGUGCGGCCGCGCAAUCGCCUCGGCCGCGCAAACGCCUCCGCUGGCGAGUUGAUCGUUGAGAAUGACGGGGAGGAGGAGCGCGGUGGUGAUGGUGACCGACUAGCGAGUGCGACCGCGUCUGGUUUUGUGGGCGGGAUCGGCAUCGAAGCGGGAGCGAUAAACGGCCGUGCAACGCAUCAGCAGGCACAGCGCCCGAUACUGCUGGACCCAGUCACGCCCGAGAAGGCGCGCGCAUCGGUGUCCUCGGCCGCAGGCACCCCAUCACGCGAUGGCGGCAGCGGCGUGGCACUGCCAGGCACCCUCGGCGACCAGCCGCGGCAGCGACGCACGAUGUUCACCUUUUCAUCCACCACAGCUGCCGCUCCAGCGGCGGUGCCCAUCGGCAUCGGCUCCAGAUCAUCCUCUCCGCGGCUGUCUCUUCAGGGCCACGAGGGGUGCGCAGCUGCACCACCGCUACCACCGCCAACAAAUCCAGCUGCCGCAGUGAACCGUGUCGCGGACAGCUACGACCAGCUCACGUGCGAUCCAUCGGUGGCCAAUGCACAUGGAAACACACGUAUGAUUGCUGCCCCCACAGCAGCAGCCGCUCUGCCGCCGCACGAGCCGCAUCCUCAUCAGCCUCCCAUGCCGCAGUUCUCUGUGCCUCUAUUUCCGGAGCCGCCUGCGUGGCAGACGCCUGCCACUGCCGCCGCUGCUUCUGGUGUGCCAUCAUCGAGCACGCCGGCGCCGCUGCUGCUGCCCCACAACAGCACCGCCGGCGGAAACGCCCAUCUGUUCUCUCCCAGCUCACCCUCCUUUACAUCCGCCUCGGCGCCUCUGGGCGGCACAGGACUUCCCAUGGCUCAGCGACUGUGUCCACAAGUGCACCACCAGCCGUCCACGAUGAUGACGCUGGCGGUGCCUUCUGAUGCCGUGAGGGGUGGUGACCCUAGCCUGUCAGACACACUCCGGGGAAGUGGUCAGACCGGCGCUGCCCACGCCGCCGAGAACAGCGAGCUACUGAUCGGGAGUAGCCCUAUUCCCACGCAGCAGCAGCAGCAGCAGCUACGCCACACAUACUUCUUCAACUGUCAGAGCGCUCCGCAAACGCUCAGUGGAAGCGGCGGAGAGACUGGCGAGGGGCAGCAGAGUAGUAGCGGCGUGGUGCUGCUCGGCGCCGACGGACCUACUCAAGGGCCCUGGACGCCGGCCACGUCUAUGGCGGGCUGCAGACACGACGUGCCGCCGCCACCACCGCUGCAUGCGGAAAAGGGCAUGCACAGCGUCGAGUACUUGAUGGGCCUCUGCAAUGACGCCCGGCUCCGCACGCCGCUGAGCGGGCGGCCGUCUGGCUCGGCGACUCGUGGCGGUGGGGGGCCCUCCCGAUCCACGAUGCCAGCGCCAGCACGCGCCGCGGCUUAUUCCACCGGCGCGGCCACGACGAACACCGACCAUGCUGUGAGCCAUUCACUUCCCUGCCCCACGACGGGCGGAAGGCCGCUCGGCAGUGGGUCGACGUUGUCCUCGUCCUGCGCCGAGGAGUCCAUCUCCUUCUCAGAGCGGCCACUAUUUCAGACCAGCACGCCAGAAUCCGCCCCACAGCUGCAGCUGCAGAAGCAAGAGAAUGGUGCGGCAGCAGGUGGCGAUAAUGGCGCUGGCCGCGACAGGCAAGAGGUCUUCACCGUCGACGAUGACUCAGAAUAAGCGUAGGAUGAGGAGAGUGGGGGGGGGGAGCAUUCGCUCGUUGCUGCUGCUGCUGUUUUGGAAGACACAGAGAGAAACGAUGCGAGUGGCGCGCGUUAGUUGUGGUGGUGGUACUGAACAGGUUUUAUGAGGUGUGUAAGUGCUCGCCUGUUUCUAUCUCUUCUCCUCCCCCCCUCUGCGCGUCUGUGCUCCAAGGCGUCACGGCACGCAGCGGCGCGUGGGCCUUUCUUGCCGCCGUCCGCUAUCGUACCUUCUGUUCCGUCCUCUGUUUUGCUGUUCGCAACGUCGGCACAUGCGUCUCUCGUUGGUGCGGUAAAGCGCAGCAAAACUAUCGUAUAAAAGUCGACGUGCGGAUGAGCGAGUCACUGAGCGCGCCAGUGGCGCAUGCAUGUGUGUGCGGGGGUGUACGCGCGCGACGUGGUGCGUCUUGCAGCAAGCACUCAGGCAUGGUUUCCCCACCCCUAUCGGCUGCGUAGCGUCAGCGCCGGACAACACUGUACCCCCCUCCUAACUUUCCCCUCGGAUGAGGGGAGGGCGCGGAAGGGCAGCCAUCGAGCCACGCCGCUCUUUCGGUCUGUUCUCUCUCAAUCACUUUCUCUCCGAUGGAUCUGCACCCCGCACUCUUUCGUUGGGUGGCGUUCCGCCGCCACCGCUCACCGCCCCCGGUCACGGGGGCCGCUGCGGCCGUGCGCGCUCCUGCGCGUCGGCCACCUGCGUUGUGGAAAG
rnacentral:misc_RNA from 1 species